ACCUGACAAUGAAUGCAGAGGUUCACAAAACCGUGGAGAGCAAGGACAGGUGGAUGCACUUUACUUAUGGGAACAGUUUAAAGUGCACAGAGCACUCUUCAAAGGGCAAGGCCACUUUAGUCUUGGCUAUUAAGCUUUAUCAGCUUCAUUUUGACAGAAAUUUCUUGGGUUUUUUUCUGGCCUUGUGACUUUUGUGCAUCUUAUUUACCCUUGCCUUGGAUGAAUAUUUUUGCUAAAUAUCUGUGUAUAUUCAUUGGAUCAUUUUGAGAAUACUCAGACAUUGGUCAUUGAACAGCCAAGUGCAGAAGCGACCUUGUUCUGACUUGGAGUGUACUAUGGUAACAGUUAGGUCUUACAAUUUUAUCCAGUUUUAUACAGGCUAGAAACAAUAUAUACUGCUGUCAUAACCUAUUUAUAUCUAGGGAAAGGUCUAGUAAAAUUUAGAUAAAUAUAAAACUUUGACAGUGAUUCAAAUCAAUUGAGUUAGAACAGUUAUAUGGUGUACUUACAUAUAGGUCUUACAAUUUUAUCCAGUUUUAUACAGGCUAGAAACAAUAUAUACUGCUGUCAUAACCUAUUUAUAUCUAGGGAAA